rnacentral:tRNA from 1 species
AAGAAAGUGGCAGAGUGGUAUUGUGUUCGACUUGAAAUCGACCUACGGGGGUUCAAUUCCUCCCUUUCUCG